rnacentral:rRNA from 1 species
AGUGAACGCUGGCGGUAGGCCUAACACAUGCAAGUCGAACGGCAGCACAGUAAGAGCUUGCUCUUACGGGUGGCGAGUGGCGGACGGGUGAGGAAUACAUCGGAAUCUACUUUUUCGUGGGGGAUAACGUAAGGAAACUUACGCUAAUACCGCAUACGACCUACGGGUGAAAGCAGGGGAUCUUCGGACCUUGCGCGAUUGAAUGAGCCGAUGUCGGAUUAGCUAGUUGGCGGGGUAAAGGCCCACCAAGGCGACGAUCCGUAGCUGGUCUGAGAGGAUGAUCAGCCACACUGGAACUGAGACACGGUCCAGACUCCUACAGGAGGCAGCAGUGGGGAAUAUUGGACAAUGGGCGCAAGCCUGAUCCAGCCAUACCGCGUGGGUGAAGAAGGCCUUCGGGUUGUAAAGCCCUUUUGUUGGGAAAGAAAAGCAGCAGGUUAAUACCCCGCUGUUCUGACGGUACCCAAAGAAUAAGCACCGGCUAACUUCGUG